ACGGGGGGGGUAAGCGUUGUUCGGAAUUACUGGGCGUAAAGGGCUCGUAGGCGGCCAACUAAGUCAGACGUGAAAUCCCUCAGCUUAACUGGGGAACUGCGUCUGAUACUGGAUGGCUUGGAUUUGGGAGAGGAAUGCGGAAUUCCAGGUGUAGCGGUGAAAUGCGUAGAUAUCUGGAGGAAUACCGGUGGCGAAGGCGGCAUCCUGGACCGGCAUUGACGCUGAAGCGCGAAAGCUAGGGGAGCAAACGGGA
rnacentral:rRNA from 1 species